rnacentral:rRNA from 1 species
CCCUUAGAUGUUCUGGGCCACACGCGCGUUACACUGAUGAAGCCAGCGAGUAUAUCGCCUUCACCGGAAGGUGCGGGUAAUCUUGUGAAACUUCAUCGUGCUGGGGAUAGACCAUUGCAAUUAUUGGUCUUGAACGAGGAAUUCCUAGUAAGCAUGAGUCAUCAACUCGUGCUGAUUACGUCCCUGCCCUUUGUACACACCGCCCGUCGCUACUACCGAUUGAAUGGUUUAGUGAGAUCUCGGGAUUGGAGACGUUGCGCCGCAAGGCACAUCGCCCUCGAGAACUUGAUCAAACUUGAUCAUUUAGAGGAAGUAAAAGUCGUAACA